UUUGAUGAUCCCUACGGGUUUGAUUUGAGUUAAAAAAUCACAUUAACUAUUUGUUCUUGAAGAAAACAAACAGUCAAUAUCUGUUUUGAACCAUGUCGUUCAUAGGAAUUUGAGAACUUGAAACAUCUCUUCCUUUGAUUAGAUUAGCCACUGGUCUGAUUUGGCUAGAAUUUGGAGAGAAACAGUGAUGGAUUAGGGUUCAAGAGUGAGUGAGGAUGGUCUUGGGGAAAUUUUAAUGGCGAUUUGGAGUUUAAUCUGCCCGGUGAAAAUGGUGGAUCCCAACUAUGGCUAGGAUAUGGAAGAGACG
rnacentral:lncRNA from 1 species